rnacentral:rRNA from 1 species
UACAGAGGAGCCAAGCGUUGUCCGGAUUGACUGGGCGUAAAGCGCACGCAGGCGGUUUCGCGCGUGGGGUGUGAAAUCUGGCCGCUUAACGGCCAGGCGCCAUCCCAUACGGCGCGACUGGAGUGAUGCAGAGGUCGAUGGAAUUGCCGGUGUAGUGGUGAAAUGCGUAGAGAUCGGCAGGAACACCCAGGGGGAAACCAGUCGACUGGGCAUCUACUGACGCUGAGGUGCGAGAGCGUGGGGAGCGAACCGG